AAUGCUUGACACAUAUUAAAAGAUAAUGAAAAAUAAUAAAAAUCCGUUAAAGUAUAUGAUAGCAAAUAGAACAUAAGGUUUAUCACCUCUUCCUCGUGUGACAGAAACUUUCAAACUCAGAAACCCAAGUCAAGAAUCAUGCCUCUCUACCCUUAAAUAAAUAUCGCCAAAUCAGGCUCAAACAAUGCAGUCAAAAGGGAAUAACAAAACACUGGUCGUGGAUAGCAAAAGGCAUGUGAGUCUGGCAUGGAAUAGGGUGGUUCGUCGGCCUCGGGGGCGGUUUUGUGGCAUAGGGUGUUGGUGUUACGUCGUCGGCGAGGGCGUCGCAAUCGAUUUUCCAACAAAGGGCGAUGUGGUUCAGAGAGGGAACGACUAUUCAACUCCGGUUGUAAGGUGAAGUUUUGAUAAGUUGGUUUUAUGAAGGAGCUAGCCGACUUAGUUACAAUUUUUUUUAGAAAACAUUUUAUAGAGGCAAUGUUUUAUAGAUAUGAAAUUGUUCAAUGUUGGAUUUAUACAUGGUAGGAAGCUAAAUAUAGUUUGUUUAUCGACCAUCGAGAUAAAACAAUUUUAAACAAA